UUAAAUAUGGGGGGGAGUAAUGUCUGUAUGCAUACAGGACAUAUAUGCAUACAGACAUUACUCCCCCCCAUAUUUAA